AUGGAGAAAGACAGUGAAUUUGACACUGUCCAGUCGUUAAUAGGCUAUGUUAUGUUUGUCAUUCCAGACCAGCUGUGGUGGUGGGGAACGGGAACGGGCCAGUGGGGGCGGGCCCAGUGGGCGGAGGACGGCCCCCCCCCCCCCGGGGCCCGUGAGCUGGAGCUGUGACUCAACAAAGCCUCAGACCCAAGCACACCAGAACAGGACUGGUCAGCUAUUCAGCAUUUCUGUGAGCAAGUGAAUACCGACCCCAAUGGGCCAACCCAUGCACCCUGGCUGCUGGCCCACAAGAUGCAGUCUCCACAGGAGAAGGAAGUUCUUUAUGCCUUGACAGUGCUGCAGACAUACAUGAACCACUGCGGGGAGAAGUCCCACAAUGAGUCCUGAAUGAGCUGAUCAAAGUGUUUUCUCCAAAGAACCUGGGAGACUAGGCCACCGAGAUAGUGAAAGGUCCUGUCUUUGAGAUCCUCUUCAGUUGGACUGUCUGGUUUCCUGAGGACAUCAAGAUCCGAGAUGCCUAUCACAUGUUGAAGAAGCAAGGAAUCAUAAAGCAAGACCCUAAACUACCUAUGGAUACUAUCUUGCCUCCACCUUUCCCCUGGCCCAAGAGCUCUAUCUUUGAUGCUGAUGAGGAAAAGUCCAAGCUGCUGACGAGACUUCUCAAGAUCAGCCACCUGAAGGAUCUCCUGGCUGUGAAUUUGCCAAUCAAGCACCUGGUCAAGGAGGAGCAAGAAAAAUCAGAGAAGGUGUCCAAGAGAGUGAGUGCGGUGGAGAACGUGCGAAGUCAUGUGAAGAUGCUACGGGAGAUGCUGAGCACAUACCACAGGCCAGGACAGGCCCUGCCCGACCAGGAGGCGCUGCAGGUGGUGUAUGAAAGGUGUGAGAAGCUCUGGCCCACCCUGUUCUGGCUGAUGAGCAACACCACGGAUGAUGACGAUGCACUUGCGGAGGUUCUCCAGGCCAACGUCCUCCUCACCCAGGGAGUUCUGCUGUACAAACAGGUGAUGGAGGGCCCAGUCACCUUUGGGAACACGGUGACAAGCUCAGUGGGAGACAUUCCUGUCUCCAGAGUCUUUCAGAAUCCCACAGGCUGCAGCAAUAACUGCCCCCUGAUCUACCUGGAGAUGAACAGUGCGUCCAGGCAGGCUGGACCUGUGUUGCCGUCUUUGCUUCAUCAGGACCUGGCAGCCUUACAGAUCAGUGAAGCUCCUGUUCCGAGCAAAGUUGCUGGUCAGAGUUGCUGUAAGGAAAGGAAUCUCUAAGAAGGCGGCAUGCAGAGCCCUUGUGGAGGCAGGAACUUGCUGCUCACCACAGCUCUCUCCAGGGUCCCUGAAUUAGGUGCCACAGAAGAGUAUUCCAAAGGAAGUGCCUCCAGGUUCCAAGUCCUCUCUGGGCUGGUCAUGGGAGGCUGGCUCUCUGGCCUCUUCCCCAGCGUUAGAGAACACUCCUCUGGCUCAGGUGAUUGUCGCUUUGGAGUCUGGGAAGCCCAGCAGCCUGAUCCUGCUUAACAUGUAUGACUGCAACAGCUUCCACAUCCUGCUGCACUUCUCCCAGACCUCGGCUCCGGCUAUCCAAAGGUGCAGGUCUUACUGUUGAGCAUGAUGAGCACUGCCACUUAGCCUGCCUGGGACAUCAUGUUUCAGGUGUCUGUGCCCAAGUCCAUGCGGGUAAAACUGCAGCCUGCCUCCAGCUCCAAGCUGCCUGCAUUCAGUCUUUUAAUACCUCCAGCUGUAAUCACCCAGAUGCUGCUGCUGGACAAUCUACACAAAGAACCGAUCCGGUUAAGGUAUAAGCUCACCUUCAAGCAGGGUGGACAGCCCUUCAGUGAAGUGGAAGAAGUGAAAGACUUUCUAGACCUGGCCAUCUUGGGGAUGGCCUAA